GACCAGACUCCUACGGGAGGCAGCAGUGGGGAAUAUUGCACAGUGGGGGAAACCCUGAUGCAGCGACGCCGCGUGAGUGAAGAAGUAUUUCGGUAUGUAAAGCUCUAUCAGCAGGGAAGAAAAUGACGGUACCUGACUAAGAAGCCCCGGCUAACUACGUGCCAGCAGCCGCGGUAAUACGUAGGGGGCAAGCGUUAUCCGGAUUUACUGGGUGUAAAGGGAGCGUAGACGGCAUGGCAAGUCAGAUGUGAAAGCCCGGGGCUCAACCCCGGGACUGCAUUUGAAACUGUCAGGCUGGAGUGCAGGAGAGGUAAGUGGAAUUCCUAGUGUAGCGGUGAAAUGCGUAGAUAUUAGGAGGAACACCAGUGGCGAAGGCGGCUUACUGGACUGUAACUGACGUUGAGGCUCGAAAGCGUGGGGAGCAAACAGGAUUAGAUACCCGCGUAUC
rnacentral:rRNA from 1 species